UGGGAUUGUAGUUUAGUGGUACAAUGCUUGCCUAGCAUGCGUGAGGCCCUGUGUUCCAUCCUCAGCACUAA
rnacentral:tRNA from 1 species